CUCAGUUCGGAUCGAAGUCUGCAACCCGACUUCGUGAAGCUGGAUUCGCUAGUAAUCGCGCAUCAGCCACGGCGCGGUGAAUACGUUCCCGGGCCUUGUACACACCGCCCGUCAAGCCAUGGGAGCCGGGGGUGCCUGAAGUUCGUUACCGCAAGGAUCGACCUAGGGCAAAACUGGUGACGUGGGGCUAAGUCGUAACAAGGUAGC
rnacentral:rRNA from 1 species